GACGAACCGUGCGAACGUUGUUCGGAAUCACUGGGCUUAAAGGGCGCGUAGGCGGGCACGCAAGUCAGGGGUGAAAUCCUCCGGCUCAACCGGAGAACAGCUUUCGAUACUGCGUGCCUCGAGGGGGGUAGGGGCAUGUGGAACUUCCGGUGGAGCGGUGAAAUGCGUAGAUAUCGGAAGGAACGCCGGUGGCGAAAGCGACGUGCUGGACCCCUUCUGACGCUGAGGCGCGGAAGCCAGGGGAGCAAACGGG
rnacentral:rRNA from 1 species